GCGGGUAUAGCUCAGUUGGUAGAGCAUCAGCUUCCCAAGCUGAGGGUCGAGGGUUCGAGUCCCUUUGCCCGCUCCA
rnacentral:tRNA from 1 species